rnacentral:rRNA from 1 species
UACGAAGGGGGCUAGCGUUGCUCGGAAUCACUGGGCGUAAAGGGUGCGUAGGUGGUGAUGCAAGUCUGGUGUGAAAUCUCGGAGCUCAACUCCGAAAUUGCACCGGAUACUGCGUGACUCGAGGACUGUAGAGGAGAUCGGAAUUCACGGUGUAGCAGUGAAAUGCGUAGAUAUCGUGAGGAAGACCAGUUGCGAAGGCGGAUCUCUGGGCAGUUCCUGACACUGAGGCACGAAGGCCAGGGGGAGCAAA